GACGUAGGAUGCGAGCGUUGUCCGGAUUUAUUGGGCGUAAAGAGUUCGUAGGUGGUUCGUUAAGUCUGAUGUUAAAGACUGGGGCUCAACCCUGGGAGUGCAUUGGAUACUGGCGGACUGGAGUGCAGUAGAGGCAAGCGGAAUUCCCAGUGUAGCGGUGAAAUGCGUAGAUAUCGGAAGGAACACCAGUGGCGAAGGCGGCUCACUGGCCCGGUACUGACGCUGAGGCACGAAAGCGUGGGGAGCAAACAGG
rnacentral:rRNA from 1 species